rnacentral:rRNA from 1 species
AAAGGGUGCGUAGGCGGUUCAGCAAGUCUCGUGUGAAAUCUUCGGGCUCAACCCGAAGUCUGCACGGGAAACUACUGGGCUUGAGUAUGGGAGAGGUGAGUGGAAUUUCCGGUGUAGCGGUGAAAUGCGUAGAUAUCGGAAGGAACACCUGUGGCGAAAGCGGCUCACUGGACCAUAACUGACGCUGAUGCACGAAAGCUAGGGGAGCAAACAGGAUUAGAUACCCCUGU